rnacentral:rRNA from 1 species
AUUUACUUUGAAAANAUUAGAGUGCUCAAAGCAGGCUUCGCUUGUAUAGUCGUGCAUGGAAUAAUGGAAUAGGACCUCGGUUCUAUUUUGUUGGUUUUCGGAACUUGAGGUAAUGAUUAAGAGGGACAGACGGGGGCAUUCGUAUUACGGUGUCAGAGGUGAAAUUCUUGGAUCGCCGUAAGACGAACUACUGCGAAAGCAUUUGCCAAGAAUGUUUUCAUUAAUCAAGAACGAAAGUCAGAGGUUCGAAGACGAUCAGAUACCGUCGUAGUUCUGACCAUAAACGAUGUCGACUGGCGAUCCGCCGGAGUCGCUUCUAUGACCCCGCGGGCAGCCUUCGGGAAACCAAAGUCUAUG